rnacentral:rRNA from 1 species
GACGAACGCUGGCGGCGUGCUUAACACAUGCAAGUCGAACGGUAAGGCCCUUCGGGGUACACGAGUGGCGAACGGGUGAGUAACACGUGGGUGAUCUGCCCUGCACUUCGGGAUAAGCCUGGGAAACUGGGUCUAAUACCGGAUAGGACCACUGCCUGCAUGGGUGGUGGUGGAAAGCUUUUGCGGUGUGGGAGGGGCCCGCGGCCUAUCAGCUUGUUGGUGGGGUGAUGGCCUACCAAGGCGACGACGGGUAGCCGGCCUGAGAGGGUGACCGGCCACACUGGGACUGAGAUACGGCCCAGACUCCUACGGGAGGCAGCAGUGGGGAAUAUUGCAUAAUGGGCGCAAGCCUGAUGCAGCGACGCCGCGUGAGGGAUGACGGCCUUCGGGUUGUAAACCUCUUUCAGCACCGACGAAGCGCAAGUGACGGUAGGUGCAGAAGAAGGACCGGCCAACUACGUGCCAGCCGCCGCCGUAAAAC